rnacentral:rRNA from 1 species
AGUGAACGCUGGCGGCGUGCCUAAUACAUGCAAGUCGAACGGAGUGGCGCACGGGUGAGUAAUAUAUAGCUAAUCUGCCCCUUGCUGGAGGACAACAGUUAGAAAUGACUGCUAAUACUCCAUAGCAAGGGAUGGGACUAUAUCGUAUCAGCUAGUCGGUGGGGUAACGGCCUACCGAGGCUAUGACGCGUAACUGGUCUGAUAGGAUGAUCAGUAACAUUGGAACGGAGACACGGUCAAAACGCCUACGAGAGGCAGCAGUAGGGUGUAUUGCGCAAUGGGGGAGACCCUGACGCAUCAACGGCGCGUGGAGGAUGACACUUUGCGAGGCGUAAACUCCUUUUGUUAGGGAAGCGGUACCUAACGAAUAAGCACCGGCUAACUCCGUGCCAGCAGCCGCGGUAAUAC